rnacentral:rRNA from 1 species
UACGAGGGGUGCAAGCGUUGCUCGGAAUUAUUGGGCGUAAAGGGUUGGUAGGUGGUCUUAUUUGUCUGAGGUGAAAUCCCGGGGCUUAACCCCGGAAGUGCCUUAGAAACGGUAGGACUAGAGUCUUAGAGGGGUUUGUGGAAUUCCCGGUGUAGCGGUGAAAUGCGUAGAGAUCGGGAGGAACACCAGCAGCGAAGGCGGCAAACUGGAUAAGCACUGACACUGAACAACGAAAGCGUGGGUAGCAAAC